rnacentral:rRNA from 1 species
GACGAACGCUGGCGGCGUGCUUAACACAUGCAAGUCGAACGGAAAGGCCUCUUUCGGGGGGUACUCGAGUGGCGAACGGGUGAGUAACACGUGAGUAACCUGCCCUUGACUUUGGGAUAACUUCAGGAAACGGGGGCUAAUACCGGAUAGGAGCUCCUGCGGCAUGGGGGGGGUUGGAAAGUUUCGGCUGUUGGGGAUGGACUCGCGGCUUAUCAGCUUGUUGGUGGGGGAGUGGCUUACCAAGGCGUUGACGGGUAGCCGGCCUGAGAGGGGGACAGGCCACAUUCGGACUGGGAUACGGCCCCGACUCCUACUGGUGGCGGCAGUGGCGAAUGUUGCUCAAUGGGUGGGAGCCUGAUGCUGCAACGCCGUGUGCGGGAUGACGGCCUUGGGGUUGUGAUCCGAUUUCGCUCAUGCCGAAGCUUUGUGUGACGGUAGUGGGUAAAGAAGCACCGGCUAACUACGUG